rnacentral:ncRNA from 1 species
UGCGAUGAGUCGAGCAGAAUCAGGCAACUUCGGUUGUUUCACUUUCGAGUGACUAGUGAUUUUUCUUGGAACGGGAUGUGUUUUUCCACCGGAUUUUUGUGGAACAUCUGAUGGCGCAUGUGUGAACCGUG